GUGAACGCUGGCGGUAGGCCUAACACAUGCAAGUCGAACGGCAGCACAGUAAGAGCUUGCUCUUACGGGUGGCGAGUGGCGGACGGGUGAGGAAUACAUCGGAAUCUACUUUUUCGUGGGGGAUAACGUAGGGAAACUUACGCUAAUACCGCAUACGACCUACGGGUGAAAGCAGGGGAUCUUCGGACCUUGCGCGAUUGAAUGAGCCGAUGUCGGAUUAGCUAGUUGGCGGGGUAAAGGCCCACCAAGGCGACGAUCCGUAGCUGGUCUGAGAGGAUGAUCAGCCACACUGGAACUGAGACACGGUCCAGACUCCUACGGGAGGCAGCAGUGGGGAAUAUUGGACAAUGGGCGCAAGCCUGAUCCAGCCAUACCGCGUGGGUGAAGAAGGCCUUCGGGUUGUAAAGCUCUUUUGUUGGGAAAGAAAAGCAGCAGGUUAAUACCCCGCUGUUCUGACGGUACCCAAAGAAUAAGCACCGGCUAACUUCGUG
rnacentral:rRNA from 1 species